rnacentral:rRNA from 1 species
GGGGUGAUGGCCUACCAAGGCGACGACGGGUAGCCGGCCUGAGAGGGUGUCCGGCCCACUGGGACUGAGAUACGGCCCAGACUCCUACGGGAGGCAGCAGUGGGGAAUAUUGCACAAUGGGCGCAAGCCUGAUGCAGCGACGCCGCGUGGGGGAUGACGGCCUUCGGGUUGUAAACCUCUUUCAGCAUCGACGAAGCGUAAGUGACGGUAGAUGCAGAAGAAGCACCGGCCAACUACGUGCCAGCAGCCGCGGUAAUACGUAGGGUGCGAGCGUUGUCCGGAAUUACUGGGCGUAAAGAGCUCGUAGGUGGUUUGUCGCGUUGUUCGUGAAAACUCACAGCUUAACUGUGGGCGUGCGGGCGAUACGGGCAGACUGGAGUACUGCAGGGGAGACUGGAAUUCCUGGUGUAGCGGUGGAAUGCGCAGAUAUCAGGAGGAACACCGGUGGCGAAGGCGGGUCUCUGGGCAGUAACUGACGCUGAGGAGCGAAAGCGUGGGGAGCGAACAGGAUUAGAUACCCUGGUAGUCCACGCCGUAAACGGUGGGUACUAGGUGUGGGUUUCCUUCCUUGGGAUCCGUGCCGUAGCUAACGCAUUAAGUACCCCGCCUGGGGAGUACGGA